AUUGAACGCUGGCGGCAGGCCUAAUACAUGCAAGUCGAACGGUAACAUAAGAAAGCUUGCUUUCUUGAUGACGAGUGGCGGACGGGUGAGUAAUAUUUGGGAAGCUACCUGAUAGAGGGGGACAACAGUUGGAAACGACUGCUAAUACCGCAUACAGCCUGAGGGUGAAAGCAGCAAUGCGCUAUCAGAUGCGCCCAAACGGGAUUAGCUAGUAGGUGAGGUAAAGGCUCACCUAGGCGACGAUCUCUAGCUGGUCUGAGAGGAUGAUCAGCCACAUUGGGACUGAGACACGGCCCAGACUCCUACGGGAGGCAGCAGUAGGGAAUAUUGCACAAUGGGGGAAACCCUGAUGCAGCAACGCCGCGUGAGGGAAGAAGGUUUUCGGAUUGUAAACCUCUGUCGUAGGUGAGGAAAAGAUGACGUUACCCUCAGAAGAAGCACCGGCUAACUCCGUG
rnacentral:rRNA from 1 species